rnacentral:rRNA from 4 species
AGACCCGAAACCCGGUGAUCUAGCCAUGGGCAGGUUGAAGGUUGGGUAACACUAACUGGAGGACCGAACCGACUAAUGUUGAAAAAUUAGCGGAUGACCUGUGGCUGGGGGUGAAAGGCCAAUCAAACCGGGAGAUAGCUGGUUCUCCCCGAAAGCUAUUUAGGUAGCGCCUCGUGAAUUCAUCUCCGGGGGUAGAGCACUGUUUCGGCUAGGGGGCCAUCCCGGCUUACCAACCCGAUGCAAACUGCGAAUACCGGAGAAUGUUAUCACGGGAGACACACGGCGGGUGCUAACGUCCGUCGUGAAGAGGGAAACAACCCAGACCGCCAGCUAAGGUCCCAAAGUCAUGGUUAAGUGGGAAACGAUGUGGGAAGGCCCAGACAGCCAGGAUGUUGGCUUAGAAGCAGCCAUCAUUUAAAGAAAGCGUAAUAGCUCACUGGUCGAGUCGGCCUGCGCGGAAGAUGUAACGGGGCUAAACCAUGCACCGAAGCUGCGGCAGCGAACGUAUCACCCAAGACAACUUUACGGAGUUGACGAUUGACGGAGCGAAGCGACGUCAAAGCGUUCAUUAAAGUCGAGUUGGCUUAGGGAUACGUUCGUUGGGUAGGGGAGCGUUCUGUAAGCCUGUGAAGGUGUGUCGUGAGGCAUGCUGGAGGUAUCAGAAGUGCG